rnacentral:rRNA from 1 species
GAGAAACCCAAAAGAUCGAAUGGGGAGAUUCAUCGUCAGCUCAUUUUGUAUAUAUAUGANGUUAUGAUAUAGGUUACUACUUGUAGUAUUGCCUGUACAUUCUUGUAUAUUUUAUUGCAAGAUAUUGUCGGCGUGCACUUCUCCCCUAGUAGGACGUCGCGACCCGUUGAGUGUCGGUCUACGGCCCGAGUGGUAGCCUUUAAUUCUUGUAAUUAAAGACCCUUGGUGUUUCCUGGCUGGCUGCUCGGCGGUAUUCGUAUGGUAUUAAGCCGCAUUAAUGCGUUCAUAUCCGGCGCAAGCGCGGUUAAUUUUUAGUAGUACGGACCUAGUGCCGUCGCUAUAAUUAAUCAGCUGUUGGUUGUACGGUAUUCUAGAAC